CAGGGAAAUUGCACAAUGGGGGAAACCCUGAUGCAGCGACGCCGCUGUGAAGGAUGAAGGUUUUCGGAUCGUAAACUUCUUUGAUCGGGGACGAAAAAUGACGGUACCCGAAGAACAAGCCACGGCUAACUACGUGCCAGCAGCCGCGGUAAUAA
rnacentral:rRNA from 1 species